rnacentral:lncRNA from 1 species
AAAUACGUGGUUUGUGAGAUGGAAGUGGCAGCAGAAGAAAACGUUUUUGUCAAGUAUUUGCUGUGUGCCAGGCAUAGUACGGCUGGGAUCUUUCCACCUGUUAGUUCAUCGAAUCCUCAAAACGCCAAGUGAGACAAGGAAACUAAGGCCUCCUGGAGUUAACUUACUGGCUCAAGUCACUAAGAGACAGGGCUCACGCCAAAUUGAAGACUGGCCAUCAGCACCGAUGCCAAGGCACCCCACAGUCUACAGAAACGGUCUGAUGUCACCCCUGCAGCGAUUCCAGGACUCUGGUUUCCUGGGUCUGUCAUCCGGAUUGUCCCUGUGGGACUAACAGCCUGGGAAGCAGGGAGGACAACUAUUACCCACAGUGCUUUACCUAUGAGCACCUGUGCCAAUGUUCAUUUAGGAUAAAUUCUAAGAAAAAUUUCUCAGCUGAAGGGAAUGAACAUUUAAAUUUAAUAAAUAUUGCCAAAUCACCUUCUAAUAAUGUACCAAUUUGUACUUCGAGUAAUAAUGAGUUUCCCCUCACCCUCACAAACACAGCUUUCAACAAAUCUUUUGGACACUUUUUGUGAAUGAUGGAAAUUUCAGGUUUAUUUUGCAUUUUAUUUAAUUGGGAAUAAGAGUGAACAU